rnacentral:rRNA from 1 species
UACGUAGGGUCCGAGCGUUGUCCGGAAUUAUUGGGCGUAAAGAGCUCGUAGGCGGUUUGUCGCGUCUGCUGUGAAAUCCCGAGGCUCAACCUCGGGUCUGCAGUGGGUACGGGCAGACUAGAGUGAUGUAGGGGAGACUGGAAUUCCUGGUGUAGCGGUGAAAUGCGCAGAUAUCAGGAGGAACACCGAUGGCGAAGGCAGCUCACUGGGACGGUACUGACGCUGAGGGGCGAAAGCGUGGGGAGCGAACGGG